rnacentral:rRNA from 1 species
ACUGGGACUGAGACACGGCCCAGACUCCUACGGGAGGCAGCAGUGGGGAAUUUUGGACAAUGGGCGCAAGCCUGAUCCAGCCAUGCCGCGUGUCUGAAGAAGGCCUUCGGGUUGUAAAGGACUUUUGUCAGGGAAGAAAAGGGCGGGGUUAAUACCCCUGUCUGAUGACGGUACCUGAAGAAUAAGCACCGGCUAACUACGUGCCAGCAGCCGCGGUAAUACGUAGGGUGCGAGCGUUAAUCGGAAUUACUGGGCGUAAAGCGGGCGCAGACGGUUACUUAAGCAGGAUGUGAAAUCCCCGGGCUCAACCUGGGAACUGCGUUCUGAACUGGGUGACUAGAGUGUGUCAGAGGGAGGUAGAAUUCCACGUGUAGCAGUGAAAUGCGUAGAGAUGUGGAGGAAUACCGAUGGCGAAGGCAGCCUCCUGGGAUAACACUGACGUUCAUGCCCGAAAGCGUGGGUAGCAAACAGGAUUAGAUACCCUGGUAGUCCACGCCCUAAACGAUGUCGAUUAGCUGUUGGGCAGCAUGACUGCUUAGUAGCGAAGCUAACGCGUGAAAUCGACCGCCUGGGGAGUACGGUCGCAAGAUUAAAACUCAAAGGAAUUGACGGGGACCCGCACAAGCGGUGGAUGAUGUGGAUUAAUUCGAUGCAACGCGAAGAACCUUACCUGGUCUUGACAUGUACGGAACCCUCCAGAGACGGAGGGGUGCCUUCGGGAGCCGUAACACAGGUGCUGCAUGGCUGUCGUCAGCUCGUGUCGUGAGAUGUUGGGUUAAGUCCCGCAACGAGCGCAACCCUUGUCAUUAGUUGCCAUCAUUAAGUUGGGCACUCUAAUGAGACUGCCGGUGACAAGCCGGAGGAAGGUGGGGAUGACGUCAAGUCCUCAUGGCCCUUAUGACCAGGGCUUCACACGUCAUACAAUGGUCGGUACAGAGGGUAGCCAAGCCGCGAGGUGGAGCCAAUCUCACAAAACCGAUCGUAGUCCGGAUUGCACUCUGCAACUCGAGUGCAUGAAGUCGGAAUCGCUAGUAAUCGCAGGUCAGCAUACUGCGGUGAAUACGUUCCCGGGUCUUGUACACACCGCCCGUCACACCAUGGGAGUGGGGGAUACCAGAAGUAGGUAGGGUAACCGCAAGGAGCCCGCUUACCACGGUAUGCUUCAUGACUGGGGUGAAGUCGUAACAAGGUAGCCGUAGGGGAACCUGCGGCUG